rnacentral:lncRNA from 1 species
AGAGUAACGGGUUUGGGAGAAGUACAAAAGUUGGUUAUAUCACGGUGAAACAUCAUCAAGGGGUCCACAUGAUCCUGGGCAAUUUUUUGAGACGGGUAGUACAUCCAACGAUCCAACAACGGCCUUCAUCAACGAAUGUUUCCUUAUGAGAGCGGUGUAUGCGCUCAAUGACAGUAUAUGCCUGACCCGGUGCAGCCCUUCCCUAGAGCUGUCAACACUGUUGGUAUUGACAUGUACAACAAACUGCUUGCUUUCCAACAGACCCCUGUGUACCCCAGUUGUCAGAAGACCGUUUUUGAAAGUGUGAUGGACGUAAUGAAGAUUAAAGUUGAGACAAAAUCGACCGUGAAGCUAUUAAUGAUUAUCUACUGUACACUGCUUCGAUGCUGCCCCACGGUCAUCGUCUUCCUACCACUCAUCAUAAGGUCCGAUGUAUCCUAAAAGAUCUUGGGCUUUCCUACAUCAAGAUCCAUGCAUGCAGAUAUGACUGCGUUCUCUUCUAGGGUAAAGAUCCAGAAGGGAAUGACCUUGGUGGCUUUGACGCAUGUCCGGUAUGUCACACUAACAGGUAUAAGCUGACCAAAUUACGUAAUAUAGGGGGAGAUAUGAGCGUUUUCGUGAAUUUAUAGACUUUAGCCGACGAAAAUAUAUGAAAAGUCGUCGGCUAAGGUCAAAAAAUUUCAAAAUUUUUUAGGCGGUAAACCAAAGUUGGAGGAAAAUUUUCAAAGGACUUUAGCCGACGAAAAUAUAUGAAAAGUCGUCGGCUAAAGUCGAAAAAUUUUCAAAAUUUUCAAAAUUUUCAACCAAAAUUUUCAAAAGAGUUUAGCCGACGAAAAUAAAGAAUUUCGUCGGCUAAAGUUCUUUAUAUAGGCGAAGAUGGAUGGUAAGAAGUCUAUUAUCUGCCAGAUUUUCUUCUCGGCCUAGCUCCGCCGUCAAGCCACCGGAGACCGUCACACUUGUCCCAAAAGCUUCGCCGUCGUCUCUACUUCAUUGCUGGAUAGGUGGUGCAUCGAGUGGCGCCGCCGUGAGGGAUAAAUCGAGCUCCAAAACUCCGCCGGUUCGGAUUCGGUGUCGAUCAAAUUUCUCAUUCAUUAGGUCACCAUUUGGUGAGUUCUAUAUAUGGAUAAGUUGAGUUUGAUUAGUACUACAUUCCCCUAGAAUUUGGUAGCUCGAUUCGGUGUGUGUGAAGAGAAUCGAAGAUUUGAAGUUUUUAGGGUUUAAAAUUGGGGAUUUUUAUAUUUUCAGUCGAUUGACCUGUUUAGGCUUAGAAUUGAGCUUCGACUUCUUCUACAAAGUUGUUCGAAAUGUUGAGAGGAAGAUUCUGUCAAAUUUUGGUGGUGAUUGGAGGUGGCCGAAAGUUUCUGCAGUUUUUUUUUUCAAAACCCAGAAACUUUAGCCGACGAUAUUUAAACACUAUAUUCGUCGGCUAUAGUAUUUUUAAAUUUUUUUUUAUAAGGUUUAGCCGACGAAUUAUGCCAUAAUUCGUCGGCUAUAGUUAUUUUUUAAAAAUUUUUAUAAGGUUUAGCCGACGAAAUAUUUUAUAUUUCGUCGGCUAUAGUUAUUUUUUUAAAUUUUUUAUAAGGUUUUAGCCGACGAAAUAUAGUAAAUUUCGUCGGCUAUAGUUAUUUUUAAUUAUUUAUUACACACUUUAGCCGACGAAUAUAUUAAUUGUUUCGUCGGCUAAAGUCUGGGAAAAAAACCGACGACAUGUUUUUCGUCGGCUAACUGUGAGACUAUAGCCGACGAAAAAAAAAAAUUUCGUCGGCUAAAGUCAUCACAGACGACCUUUUUCCCGACAACACUAUAGCCGACGAGCCUUCGUCGGCUAAGAUGUUAGCCGACGAAUUAAGAUAACAGGCCGACGAAAAUUUUUCGUCGGCUAAAGUGCUUGUCCUGGUAGUGAAAGUUCAUCUCAUGGAUCGUUGUGAGCUUAUCACAUUCUCUGUCGAAGUUGACUGACAAUUCCUAGCGGAUUUCUGAUUUCUUUCCUUAUGCCAUAUGGAUUUCUUUUCCUUCAAGAUCUCUCCUCUUUUGCUUCUUUUCUGCUCCUCUGCUUUAUUUGCGACCUAAAAAUACAAACUAAGUUAAAAUGAAUAUUGUUAAAGGAAUUACAUAGCUAAAUAGGGUUGGAAAUACAUUAAGAACGUUGCAUAAAAUGCACCUAUCAAAUUCCCCUACACUUAGCUUUUGCUAGUCCCUUAGCAAAAUCAAACAAAAGACUCAAUACACACAAACCAGAAAUUACACAACUACAAAACUCAACAAACAAACAAACAACUCUAUUGCCCAUAACAUAUUGUCUCAGAAUCUCCAAUCAUGGCAUCAAAAUUAGCACUCAAUCAAGAAUCAUUCCAUGAAGUUUCAGAAGCUAAUUGCCAUGCAUAGAUAACAUAUUUACAUGUAGGACCUGAUAGAACAAUGGUGAUAUUUAAGCUCAGCAUGUUUCAAACAACUAUGAGUCAUUCUCACAAGGUAUGCACUCAUUUUUCACUCAGAUUUUCUGGCUAAAUCACUCAAUAAGUAUGCAAGUUAGAAUCAGAAAGUUUGCAUUUAUAUGAACAAAAGCACAAUAGAACAGAUAUAAACCUCAUGAAAGAAUCAAUUACUCACACAAAUGAACCAUACCAUAGGCUCAACUCUUGGAACAAACUUCACAGAUCAAGUUUUACUCAUCUUUUGGACCAAAAGGAACUUUACAAGGUAUUAAUGGGGCUGCUAGGGUAUGAAUUUAAGAGUAGGUAUUGCAAAGAAUUCCUAAGGACCUAGCAGAGAAUUCAAACACGUCUUAUGUCGCCAAAGCAAGGGCCUAAUGUCAUCUUGUUGGGCCCUUUGUCAUUCUAAACACCUUCAACAUUGUGAAAAAGAACAAAGGCCAAAUAUUCUGUUUUUGGGCCUUCCAUUUACAACCAAAACUCCCAUUUCACAACACAAAGACAUUGUCCAUUUUUUUCUUUUUAUUUUUCUGCCGAAAUUUUGUUUUGUUUUGUUUUUGUUUUUUUUCACGGCAUUUUCUUUUCUCUUUAAACAACAAGGACAUUUCAGAAACUUCUUCCCCCACACUUGCUCUUCAUUGUCACCUCCAGUAGUCUUCACACAAAAUGCUCUACUAGGUCCAAAAGAUAAGGGUAGAGAUAUCACUGUACUAAGCUCAGGUAAAAAUUAUAUGGGUGAUAAAAGAAAAGGCUUAAUGUAGGCUCAAAGGGGCUCAAACUAAGGGGUAUGCAGCGCACACAAAUAGGGACACACGUUUAUUUGGCAAUGGUGAUCAUCCUAAAAAGUUCCAUUUAUCCUUUCCAAAAUUAGAGUGUUUUAUGAUUAAAAGUUUCGAAAGUCCAUAAGAGUGAGUUCUAGUCAUCUAGAGUUCAUUAAAAGUUGUGGUGAAAUCAAACUAAAAGAAUAAUGAGGGUUUUGAAAAAUUAUAGCCAAGAAAACAAAUCAGAAUAUUUCAAUUAUCACUCAAAAAGAAUAGCACAUAUAUAGGCUCAAAAGCUCACAUUUAAGGUCAUAUGAAUCAAAAACUUGUCUUAGCCUGCUCAUUUCUGUACCAGAGAUUCAAAUCAUAUCCACUACAUUUCACAUGAUUUCUAUCCAUUUCAAUUAACAACCGAAUAUCAGUUAGAAAUCAUCUCAAUCUUGUGAUCUUUUCUUAUCCAUAAUUUUAGAGAUUAUCACUCAUCAUAGACAGUUAAGGGCUCCUAAGACUUAAAAACAAAAGAAAAGACUAAAACAAAAAAAACAACAAUUAUUAUUAUUAUUAUUAUUAUUUUCAAUAAAAGAUAUAAAAAGAUGUAAAUCCUUCCCCCACACUUAAAUCCUACAUUGUCCACAAUGUAACACAAGAUGAAGCAUAGAAUCAAAGCAUGGAAAGACAGAGUCACGAAAAACAAACAAAAGAGAAGAAGGGAGAAGAAAGCAAAUCUGUGUUGAUGGCUCCUCCAUAGCUUUGGUUGAAUUGGGUUGCCUCCCAAGCAGCGCUUAAUGUUUAGAGUCUUUCAGCCUAGACUUUGUAUCUCCAUUUAUCCAUGUGAUGGCACAUCUUGAAGGGAUACUUCCUCCACACUGUGUUCCUCAAAAGCCUCGUAGUAAGGCUGCAAUCUGUGGUCAUUCAUCUUGAACUCGUUCUCGGAUGUGAGACUCUUUAUCUGUAUAGCACCAUGAGGAAAAAUAUUAGUAACAAUGAAAGGUCCAAUCCAUCUAGAAUGCAAUUUACCUGGAAAUAGUUUAAGUCUAGAAUGGAAGAGUAGAACUUUCUGGCCCACUUUAAAAAUUUUCCUUGAAAUCAUCUUAUCAUGAAAGGCCUUUGUCCUCUCUUUGUAAAUCCGAGCACUAUCAUAGGCCUCAUUUCUUAUCUCUUCAAGCUCAUUCAAUUGAAGCUUCUUGUGUAAACCUGCCUCAUCAAUGUCCAUGUUAAAUGUUUUCACCGCCCACCAAGAUUUGUGCUCCAAUUCCACCGGAAGGUGGCAUGCCUUCCCAUAGGAAAGUCUGAAAGGUGACAUUCCAAUUGGGGUCUUGUAUGCUGUCCUAUAGGCCCAUAAUGCAUCAUCAAGUCGCUGACUCCAAUCUUUGCGUGUAAGGCCCACCGUCUUCUCUAAAAUCCUCUUGAUUUCUCGGUUUGACACCUCUGCUUGUCCAUUUGUCUGAGGAUGAUAAGGAGUAGACACUUUAUGCGUGAUAUUAGUGAUGGAGGAUCCCACUUCUGCUUGUCCAUUUGUCUGAGGAUGAUAAAGAGUAGACACUUUGUGCGUGAUACUUCUUGGGUAGAGCCGCGAUUGUCCUGUUGCAAAAGUGCGAUCCUCCAUCACUAAUGACAGCACGAGGCAUUCCAAACCUACAAAAGAUAUGAGAAUGGAGGAAAUCUGUAACAACUUUGGAAUCAUUAGUUUUGGUGGCUUUUGCCUCCACCCAUUUCGACACGUAAUCAACCGCUAGAAGAAUAUACAGAAAUCCAUUGGAAGAAGGAAAGGGUCCCAUAAAGUCAAUACCCCACACAUCAAAUAUUUCAACAACUGUCACAUUAGUUAAGGGUAUUUGGUCUUUAGGACCUAGGUUACCUAGCCUCUGACAUCGAUCACAAGUCAUACAAAACAUAUAUGCAUCCUUAAAUAUCGUAGGCCAAUAGAAACCACAAUCCAACACCUUAAGAGCUGUCUUACGUGAACCAAAGUGACCACCACAAGGCUCAGAAUGACAAAAAGCAAGUAUAGAUUUAUGCUCAGAUUCUGGGACACACCUCCUAAUUAUUUGAUCACUGCAAUGUUUCCACAAAUAAGAUUCAUCCAAAAUAUAGUACCUAGCAUGCUUCUUAAGUCUAUAUAUCUUUAUUAGCACGAGUCAAAGUGUCCGGAAAUUGCCUAGUCACUAAAUAGUUCACAAUAUAUGCAUACCAAAGUUCACUUACCUCAAUUCCGAAGAGUUGUUCAUCCGGAAAGUUCUCUUGUAUGGCAAUGGUGUCCUCCUCAUGUACCAAUCUACUCAAGUGAUCUGCUACAACAUUCUCACUCCCUUUCUUGUCCCUAAUCUCGAUAUCAAACUCUUGGGGUAAAAGAAUCCAUCGUAUGAGCCUCGGUUUUGCUUCCUUCUUUGUAAGCAAGUACUUCAUAGCUGCAUGAUCAGUGUAAACAAUAGCUUUAGUCUGAUCUAAAGCAAAAACAACAGCAAGAAGUUCUUUUUCUGUAGUAGAAUAAUUCAAUUGAGCAUCAUUAAGAGUCCUUGAGGCGUAGUAAAUAGCAUAGGGCCUCUUGUCCUUCCGUUGUCCUAACACAGCUCCAACUGCAUAGUCUGAGGCGUCACACAUCAACUCAAAGGGUAGAGAGCAAUCCGGAGGGAGCAUAAUAGGAGCUGAUGUGAAAAGCUCCUUCAACCUCUCAAAUGCCUUCUUGCAAUCGUCGUCAAAUUCGAAGGGUACAUCCUUUUACAGUAAAUGACAUAGAGGUCUGGCUAUCUUGGAAAAGUCCUUAAUAAACCUGUGAUAAAAUCCUGCAUGGCCAAGAAAUGAAUGAACCUCCCUCACAGAAGUGAGAAAGGGUAAGUAACGAACAAGAUCAACUUUGGCUUUAUCGACCUCUAUUCCCCUAGCAGAUAUAAUAUGUCCCAACACAAUGCCUUGUCGAACCAUAAAGUGACACUUUUCCCAAUUUAGCACCCAGUUAGUUUCAACACAACGUUUUAAGAUUAGUUCUAAAUUCUCUAAGCAUGCAUCAAAACUCUUACCAAAGAAAAUAGACAUCCAUGAAAACCUCAAUGAUCUUUUCAAUGUACUCAGAGAAAAUAGACAUCAUAUAACGUUGAAACGUACCUGGAGCAUUGCAUAAACCGAAAGGUAUGCAUCUAUAGGCAAACGUACCAAAUCAGCAUGUGAAGGUGGUCUUCUUUUGAUCCUCCUGAGCUAUGCAAAUUUGAUUGUAACCACUAUAGCCAUCCAAGAAGCAAUAAUACUCAUGACCUGCUAACCUCUCUAACAUCUGAUCAAUGAAUGGCAAAGGGAAGUGGUCCUUCCUGGUGGUGGCAUUGAGCUUUUUGUAGUCCAUGCAGACUCUAUGUCCAGUCACAACUCGUUGAGGCACUAGCUCAUUCUCUUCAUUCUUCACCACAGUCACUCCAGACUUCUUUGGCACCACUUGGACUGGUGAGACCCACUUGUUAUAUGAAAUAGGGUAGAUAACAUCACAAUCAAGUAAUUUAAUAACCUCAGUUUGAACUACCUGCAUCAUGGGUGGGUGGAGGCGUCUUUGGGCCUCUCUGGUGGGCUUAGCGCCAUCUUCAAGCAAAAUCCGAUGCACACAAGUUGUAGGGCUUAUACCCUUGAUGUCUGCCAAAAUCCAACCAAUGGCGGUCUUGUACUUCUUCAAUAUUUCCACAAGCCUUUCCUCUUGCUCCUUCUCGAGCAUAGAAGAUACAAUUACUGGCAAUGUCUCAUUGUCUCCCAAAAACACAUACUUCAAGUGAUCUGGUAAAACUUUAAGUUCAAGAGUUGGGGCCUGUACCACUGAAGGAAGAAGUUUAUUAGUCGAAAUGGGAAGUGACAAAGGAGGAUCAUAACUAUCUAUGGUGGCAUGGCCUCAAGAGAAGCCACAGUUUGGAUGAUAAUAGGACUAAAGUUCUCUUCAAGUUCUGCCUUGGUGAUGUUGGUGCCAUGUUCAUUGUAACCAACUCCUUGAGCGAUUGUUAGCGCCAACUCAUCAUCCGGAAUUUCAUCCAAGAAUUUCUGAGCAAGAGAAUCAAGUAUGUCAAUAGAAAAACCAGAUUUGUCAUCAGAAAUAGGAUACCUCAUGACUUUAAAGAUGUUGAAGCCAAUAACAUCACCAUUAAACUCCAUGGUUAAUGUUCCUUCAUACACAUCGAUCUUUGUCUUCGCCGUUCUCAUGAAUGGACAUCCAAGCAACAAGAUUGUGGAAUUAUGAGGCGAGUCUUCCAUGUCAAUGAUGUAGAAAUCCGCUGGAAAGAUCAAAUGGUUCACCUGCACAAGCACAUCCUCUACAUACCCCUUAGGAUAUGUGUUGGAUCGAUCAGCUAACUGGAUAAUAACAUUAUCUUUCUUAAGUGCGCCUAACUCCAUAGAUGCAUAUAAACUAUAUGCCAUAACAUUGAUCGAUGCACCUAAGUCAAGUAUGACAUUUUCAAACUUAUUGUUACCAAUUACACAAGGGAUAGAAAAACUCCCUGGAUCCUUAAGCUUUGGAGGCAAUUUCCUUUGAAUAACCGUAGAGGCAGUCGCAUUCAUCUUCACAACCUCCUUUUGACGUGUUUAUCUCCUUGUAGUGCACAACUCUUUCAGAAAUUUAGCAUAUUUUGGCACUUCUUUGAUGCACUCAAGCAAAGGCAUGUUUACUUGAACCUUCUUGAAAAUCUCCAGGAUAGCUUGAUCCGACUCAUCCCUCUUUGAUUGUGCAAACCUGCUUGGGAAUGGUACACGAGCAUAGGGAGAGUUAGAAAUAACCGAACUUUGAGAGUAAGAAUCAUUACCUUUACUUGCUGGUUUCAGUGGGGAUUGCAGUGAGCUUUCAAUCCUAGAUGUUGCUGGAUCUUUUUCUAAAUCCCUCUUGGUGACUUCAAUGUCACCCUCCUCAUCAUGGGCCAAAAUUGGCGCCACUUUGGUCUUCUUUGGUGCCUUAGCUAGGGACAUCUUCAAGCCUCUUCCCACUCCUUGUAAUGAUUACCUUUGUAGAUUCAAAGUUAGGAUUCGGAAUAGUACUGGGUGGGAGCUUUCCACUUUCAGUUAUUCUUCCCAUGAAGUCCACAACAUGUCCCAUUUGCUUCUUGAGCUCCGCUAGGUCCUUACCAUGACUCUGUUAUCCUGUGACAAGUGCUUGAGUAGAAGUUGUCAAAGUUUGUUGCCCUUGAAAAAGAUCUUCAAGCAUUUUAUCAUAAGAAGCAUUAAUAGCAUUAUGAGGAACAUAGUAAUUAUUUGGAACAAAGUUUUGAGGAACUUGAGGCCUCGGAUGGAAGCCUUGAGGACGUGGAAAGAGUCCACUAGAUGGUUGGGGUUGUUGCACAUUCUCUAUGUCGCUCCAUCGAAAGUUGGGGUGGUCCCUAAGUCCUGGAUUGUAGGUGUUAGAGAAGGGAUUGUAAUGUUGUUGCGAUCCCAAAGCAUUUAAUGAUUCCCAUCCUCCAUUCUCAAUCAACUGAGGACACUAAUCAAUCACAUGCCCUUGCAUAGAGCAAACUCCACACGUCUUAGCUUCUUCUUGACCUUUUACCUGUAAGACCUGAGACAACAAAGUAGUCAUGUUAUUCAAUUUUUCCUCAAGUGCAGAGUUAGAAGAUACCUGAUUUACCCUCCGAGAAGAGGAUAACGUCCCCUCAUACUGUUGAUAGUUGAGAGCACGAUUUUCCAAGAGUGCUUAGCCACUUCUGGUGUCUUAUCCAAGAAAGAACCUCCCGCAGAAGCAUCCAAAAGUUCUCUUUCGUUAGUGAGAAGUCCCUCAUAGAAGUACUGGAGCAGGUUAUUUUCUGACAUUCCAUGGUUGGGGCAUGACGUCACUAGAGCCUUAAACCUCUCAUAAUAGGUGCAAAUGAUUCAUCAACCUUUUGUUGUAUGCCAGUAAUCUGCUUCCUAAGGAUGGUUAUCCUUGAUGCUGGAAAGAACUUUGUGAGAAACUCUCUAACCAUCUUAUCCCAAGAGUCAAUAUGGCCAGAUGGAAGCUCAAAUAACCAUGUUUUCGCCCUAUCUUCCAGAGAGAAAGGAAAUGGAUUCAAUUUCAGAAUUUGAAUGUCUGCUCCCUUUGGGCACAUACUGGUACAUAUGAACUGGAACAACUUCAGAUGAUUGUUAGGGUCCUCAUUGUUAAGCCUGUGGAACUUGGGGAGGUGGUGUAAGAAACCACUCUUCAAUUCAAACUCUGCCUCCUUGCCUGUAGCUGGAUCUGGAUAAGUGAUGCACGUUGGAGCUACUGCUCCUUGAGUUGUUGACGAGAGUUGCUUGAUAGUUGCCAUGGAUCUUUCUUCAAGGUGUGGUCCUUCUUCCUCAAAGAUUUACUCCACCUCAUCUGAGAGAUGUGAUGAACUAGCUUCUGAGUGAACUUCUUUGUUUUCCUCUACUCGAGUUGUAGAUGCACUUCCUUUAACUUCUUGUUCUUUCGAGUAGUCCUCUCUAUCUCAGGAUCAAAGAGAAGUUCACUUGUCGGUUUCGCCCUUGUAUGCAUAAACCUACGAGUUCCUGCAUCAAAAAACACUAAGUUAGUCUUCAAGAAUUCACAUGAAAUGCAUGUAUAUAAAUAAUAACACAAUUAUUUACUAAAUGAAAAACACAUAUAUCAUGUAUAUACAACAAUAAAGAACGCUUAUUUAGCUAAGGAUUUUUCAAUCCCCGGCAACAGCGCCAUUUUGAUGAGUGUAAAAUCUACAUCAAAUAAACCCUUUUUAUCGUUGGUAGCACAAGGUAAAUAAGGGUAUCGUAUAAGACCGAAGAUUGAGGGUACCUUGCAAAACAAGCGUUAGUAAAACUAAUAAACACAAGUAUUAUUUACAAAUAUACAAUCAAAUACAUUUACAAUUAAAUUGGGGGUAUUGAGAGAUAAUUUCUAACCUAAAAUGCAAGAUAAAUAAACCUAAACUAAUAUAAUAUAUACAAGCGAUCAUCUUCUUUCACACGAAAAACAGCCUUUCAAACUACAUAAUCAAGUUAUCACAAUGUUUCAAUUUCCAAAACAUAGAAUCAUGUCAACUAUAUGCAAUAAACGAAUUCGAAACACAAGCCGAAAGAGGUCAUGCAUCCCAUAUAAUCUUCUCAAGUCUCCUACACUGGAAAAAUCCGAACACAUAGAAUAUUUCAUGCAAUGCAUCACGUUAAUACGAAGCGCAUCCAUACAACACACUACAUGUGUAACGCCCUGUACCCAAUUUUACCUUUACCUUUUUACUGGGUAUUAUACGAGUUACUGAGGAAUUUAACCAUGCUCGGUAACUUAGUAAGUUAACACUUGAGUUUAUUUGCGAUUUCUUCUGGAAAUGUCAAAUUCUUCUUUUAAGGUGUCAGUGUCGUAGUUCGCGUUGACACGGGUUCUCCUGUGUUUUCGGUUUAUUUUCGGAGCUUUGAAGUAUUUUUGUACGAUUUAUUGAAGGUUGGUGAAAGAAAUUAAUUUUCUGAAAUUAGAAUAACCCAUUUAAUCUUGGCCAUCGGAUCUUUAGGGUUUUGAUCUUGAUCGUCAAUUCAAGUAUAAAGGGAAGGGAAGAGUUGACCGAGUCAAGAAGCCACACUCGGGCGUUGACCCGAGCUUCAGCCUCUCUCUCCUCUCUCUGGCUACGUCAGUCUUUCCCGACUCUUCGUCGUUGAUUCCGGCCACCACUCACCGCCACAUCGGUCUCAAAAUGACCGUCUCAUUCUCUUCUAUCUAACCCGGUCCAUAGAACUCGAUGUUAGCCCGAUUCAAAGCCAAACCGAGGGAGAGAAGCUCGGCUGUUUUUCGGCGAAUCCUCGAGAUUCCGACCACGGCGUGACGAGUGGGAGGUAGGGUUAUCUUCCUCUCUUCCUACUUCACCUUCUGGUGCCUUUCUUUUCCCCAUAUCGUGCCUUAAUUGAAGACCCAUUUUUCUGUGUUCUCCGAGUUUCGAGCUCCUAGCUCAGGCGACCCUAGCUCGGUGGUUUCUGGCGAGUUCUUCAGCGUUUUGGCAGGUCAUGUGAGCUUGGUGUGAAGUUGAGACGGACAUUGAUGGAGUUGCAUAUCGAUCAGGAUCGAGGCAGAGGUCUGGUGCGCUUGACCGAAGAGGAUCCGAGGUGAAUGGUGUUGUUGCAGUGAAGAAUGAGGCAACGGUUGUGGAUGUUUAGGGGUCCUGCAUAUUGAGUCCGGACCAGGAGAGUUCUUGGGAUAGCACUUGAGAUCAAUGGAAUGUAAUCUUGAUCUCCUUUGAUGUUAUAUAGUUGUUGUGUGGAUAUUCGGACUGAUUGGAUGCAUUUUUUUUGGUGUUGCUUGUGGAGAACUUGGUGUAUUGAAGAAUAUAGGGAGGUCAUGGCAAAAUUCCGGUAAGAGGCCAGAAUCCGGCAGAAUAUUCCGGCAAGUCGCUGGAGUCCGGCAAGGGGUGGAGCUGGCAGAAAUGAUGGAGGUAGUGAUCGAUGUUUCUUUUUCAUUGUAUGUCAUUUCGGGAAUAGGAAAGUUUGGAUUGUAAUCGGAAAAAUUGUCAAGUUAGGAAAGUUUCUAUUUGGGAUACUUUCCGUUUUUGGAAACCUUCCAUUUAUGGAAACCGUUUUUGGGUGCCCUUAGUAGUUUUGUGGUUUUUCAUAUUAAUAUGGUUCGUAUGUUUUUGACUUAAAGAAAUUACAUUAGUUUGAUUAAUAAAAAAUCGAGGUUCACCAAAACAAAUUAUUAAGUGAUGCCUAAGCGUCUAACGGUUAGUGGGACGUAUAGAGAAAAUUGGAUCGAAUUGUUAAGUCAAAGGUUGAAUUGAAAAACGUUGAGCAUCGUUAGUUGGUCAAAUCAGUUUGACCUAAGAAACCUUAGUCAAACUAGGAAAGAAGGCGAGGCAAAGGUUAUUUUAAAGUUUGGUCUGACCAAUUUGUCCUACAACUUAUGGUCAGGCAUGGGAUUGACUCAAGGACAUGGAUAUUUGGAAGCGGCGCUCAAGGAGUGUCCCGAGCAAUGGAAAACUUAAGCCUAAUACUGUGAGUGGACAUUUUCAUUUUAAAUAAAUAUGCAUGCAAGAUUUUAUAAUUUAUUAUUUUAUUUUCCGAGCUUAUAUUAUAAUUUUGGCUUAUGAGAUGUUCUUGGAAAUUAUUUGAGUUUGAAGCAUUGCUUAAGUGUUGGUCAUGAUAUAUGGAUUCGAGCUCAGGUUAUAUAGUUGGUAUUUAAGUUUUGAUAUUCUUUAUGACUCCGGAUUUAAAUAUUUUCGGUUUUAUUUUUUUGAUGACUUUGAAAUUUAUAAAUGAUUACCGAAAAUGGGAUUUUCAGUAGUUCUCCAUCAUAAUUUAAUUGUUUAUUGAUGCAUAAUGAUUUUGACUUGGAGAAUAUUUUAGCGAGAAUUUUCGAGUGGGGAUAUUAUUAUUUAUGAUUUAUAUUUGAUAUUGAAAUCUCGCUUAUAUUUAUAAAUGUGAGAAUAUUUUGACGUGUGAGAGACGUCAUUGAGUUUUAAUAUAAUAUCUUAUGAUGAUUUUCAAGUACAGUUGGAAACCGUACCAUUCGUAUGAUAUUGGUGAAGUUUAAUGGAUUUAAGUGAUUUCGUAUGUUUUUAGUCACCAUAAUAUAGGGUUGAUUUAUAUUGAUUAUUGCUAGCUAACCUUAUUAGCGGUCCUCAUCAUAUGUGAGUCCACUACCAGAAGAAAGGCUUUAGCCGACGAAAAUAAAAAAACCAGGCCGACAAAUUAUUUUUUCAUCGGCUAAAGUCCACUUUAGCCGACGAAAUUUUCCUUCGUCGGCUAAUUUAAAAUUUUCGUCAGCUAUGGUCAACUUUAGCCGACGAAAUUUUAAUUUCGUCGUCUGAAUAAUUUUUUUCGUCGGUUAUAGUUUGUGAACUUUAGCCGACGAAAUUUUUAAAAGUUUAGCCAACGAAAAAUAUAAUUUCGUCGGCUAAAGUGCCUUAUAUUUGCAGAUCUGGACAACAACUCAUCUGGGAAAAAAAAACUAUACGUAGAACCUUCAAACGCAAAAAAGUCGUGAAAUAAGAUAUGACCAAAAUGGUGAAAUACGUCUACAGUUGAAAAAUCAUGGUAUUCCGGUAAAGUACCAGUGCCGAUAGUUGCGGUCAAUGCAAUUUACCCUUAUUAUUCACUAUGCUGCAGAUUUGGCGUUUGGUGUCCGAUUGACUAUUGUGAUACCUUUCCGGAAGCAUAACGGCCCUACGAGUCAAACUCAACGCUUUGCCCUGACAUAUGGGUCUUUUUGGCCAUCCGAGUCCGUUUAGGGCUUCAAAAUGUAGUUUUCUUAUUUCCGAUUAAAGUUAGACCGUUUCGAUCGAGCCCUUAACGUUGUCGGAUCCAGUUGAAUUUUUUACCAUAGACAUCUUUCGUCAUAAUGAUCAUAUCUGACGGUCGAAUUUUGGUUUGUGAAUUUUAGUCAUCAGAAUCACAAUGUGUACUAUUUACCGUUAUUCUUCCCUAUGGGGAGCCCUACCGUCGGAAAGUAAAUGUCUCAAAAUUUUUAUAUGGGCAGUUGCGUCUCAUCUACGUGAGAGCUUUUUGUGUGGAAGGUUUGACCAAACGACGUAAUAUAGAGGGAGAUAUGAGCGUUUUUGUGUGAUAAGUGAUGAUGGAUUAGGGUUGACCGUUUCGAUCGAGCCCUUAACGUUGUCGGAUCCAGUUGAAUUUUUUACCAUAGACAUCUUUCAUCAUAAUGAUCAUAUCUGAUGGUCGAAUUUUGAUUUGUGAAUUUUAGUCAUCGGAAUCACAACGUGUCUACUAAUGUUGUAUAACUUGUUUAGUAGGUUAUACAACUUUGUGAACCAACUCUACAUAGGAAGCAAAAUUAUCAAAAAUCUCGUGAAAUAAGAUGUGUUCAGAAUGGUGAAAUACGGCUAUGGUUCAAAAAUCAGGUAAAUCGGGUAAAGUCUCGGUGCCGAUAGUAGCGGUCAACCCUAUUUACCGUUAUUAUUCCCUAUGGGGAGCCCUAUCGUCGGAAGGUAAAUGUCACAAAAUUUUUAUAUAGGCGGUUGCGUCUCAUCUACGUGAAAGUUUUUCGUGUAGAAGGUUUGACCAAACUACGUAAUAUAGAGGGAGAUAUGAGCGUUUUCCUGAAUUUAUAGACUUUAGCCGACGAGAUAUUAAAAAAGUCGUCAACUAAGGUCAAAAAUUUUUGGGCGGUAAACCAAAUUUGGAGGAAAAUUUUCAAAGGACUUUAACCGACGAAAAUAUAUGAAAAGUCGUCAGCUAAAGUCGAAAAAAUUUUCAAAAAUUUUCAACCAAAAUUUUUUGGUGGUCAACCAAAAUUUUCAAAAGAGUUUAGCCGACGAAAAUAAAGAAUUUUGUCGGCUAAAGUUCUUUAUAUAGGAGUUUUACCGAAGGUGGAUGGUAAGAAGUCUAUUUCGCCUGCCAGAUUUUCUUCUCGGUCUAGCUCCGCCGUCAAGCCACCGGAGACCGCCACACUUGUCCCAAAAGUUUCGCCGUUGUCUCUACUUCAUUGCUGGAUAGGUGGUGCAUCGAGUGGCGCCGCCGUGAGUAAGGCUGGGCUCGGGUCGGGCCGGUUCCGGUUUUCAGAAAACCCGACUCAAAACCCGAAAAAAUCGGGUCGGGUCGGGUCGUGCUUUUUCAGUUUUUAAGCCCGGCCCGAAUUUUUUUUUUUCGGCCUUUCGGGUAUUAUUUCGGGCCCAAUCAUGAUUCUUGCAGUUUACACCAUUUCAGCUCUAGAUAUCCAAAAAUAAUACAUCAACAUUGCAGAUCAACAUUACAAAUCAAGGAAACUAAAUGGAUCAACCAAAAUCAUCAUACAAUGACAUCUACUUGACUCAAAAUCUCUUCAUUCUACAUCAGUUGACACCCUUCUCAUGCGUCUCAUGCCCUUCUCAUGUUACCAAUUCACAAAACACCAAUCAUUCAACUCUGCUAUUUGACAUUUCUAUUCCAUACACCAGAAGUCAUGUACAAGCUGAUCACCAAAGAAAAAAACCAAAAAAAAAAAACAAAACUGAUCACCAAGCUUUCAAAUAGAAAGAACAACAGAAUCACAUCAAAACAAGGGUUACCUGGAGAUGGGGACGCAACACAAGCUUUAUUUUUUGUUUUUGUCUUCUCUCUUUAGCCUUAUUUUUUGUUUUUGCUGCCUUCUCUCUUUAGUUGCUUUCCCUUUAAAAGCAUGAGAUGAACUGGUGGUAAUAGGCUCCGGGUGAUCCACAGUCCCAAUAAUAGCGUCUUCCUUUUCUUGUUCUGCACCAUGGAUGCCAAUAAGCAAUUAGAAAUCAUCGCUAGCAGCUAAGGCUGUAAUUUGUAAAUGGUUGUGUAAGACAAAACUGAACCUCAUUACUAUCAGAGCUAAUAUGGAGUUUAGUUAAUACAUGCUCUUUUUUUUUAAUCUGCUGUAAAUAGAGAUAUAUGAAUUAAGAAAAGAAAAUAAAAAAGAGCUUACCUUCCUCCACAGAUUCAUAAAACUCCAUAUCCUCAAUAGUUGGAACAUAUUGGAUGUUGUGGAUACUCUCAGACCUAAUCCAAUUUUGGUAGCAGAUUAAGGCCUCCACUGUCUUGGGAGAUAAAGAACUCUGAAAUGGAUCAAUCAUCCUUCUACCAGUGCUGAAUGAAGACUCGGCUGCAACCGUACUCACUUGGAUGGCUAGCACAUCUUUCGCAAGUGCAGCAAGACCCGGAUACUUGUCACCAUUCAUCUUCCACCAUUCUAAUAUGUUGAAUUUCUCACGACUUGGAGGCUUCUCAAUUGGGUCUAGUAGGUAUCUGUCCACUUCAUGUACAACAACAGCUUCUUGAGAGUCCUCCAAUUCUCUCUCCCAUUCUUCUUCCAUGUCCUUUAUGAUUCCAGUAGCCUCUACGGUGCUUUGACUCUUUUUGGAUGAGGAUUUGUUGGCUUGGCUAACUAUGCUUUGACUGCUCUCUCCACUCCUAGAUUUUCCUGAUUUGGAAGAUGAUGGAACAUUCAUUGAGCUGCUGUAAAGAUCACAAAGCUCCACCAGAAGCUCUUUAAUCUCGGCAGACUUCUUCUUAAUUUCAACAUACCCCAUCUUUAACCAUUUCUUGCAUAUACUUUCAAAGUUUCUAAUCUUGUAUCUUGGGUUUAACACCAUGGCAAUGAACAUAAGUUGGUUGCAGUCAUCUAAGGUAGCAAAAUACUUCUCGUACUUGAUUUUCAUACUCGAUGCCAUAUCAAAUAAGGUUUUCUCAAUUGGUGCACCGGUACACAUUUCAGGUUUACUGAGCAAUUCAUCAAUCUCAGCCUUUAUGGCAACUAUAUCAUGAAAAGCUUUCCAUGAAGUUGGGUGAUUGGAGGCACUAAUCCUCAUUGUCACAUGAAAGAAAAUUCUUAGAAACUUCACAAAUAUAGCAGCUUUUUCCCAAUCAUGUCUAACCGGUGGUCCUGCCCUCUUCCUCCUUUGUUUCUUCCUUGCAUUAGUUGCAUCUCGAGUCACACUUACUUCCCCCAAGUCUUGGAUCAACUCAUCUUCAAAAUCAAUGUCUUCAUCCUCUUCAAAGUAUUUUUCAUACUUACUUUCCUCAUCUUCUGCCAUUCUAUCAAAGGCCUUCCUCAACUCUAAUGUAGUGGAUAACAUUAUAUAAGUCGAGUUCUACCUUGUUGGUACAUCAAGAAUGCAAACCUUCUUGGACUCAACCUUCUCCUUCUCAAUACACAACUUGAAAACAUCAAGUCUUUGUGCACUGCUCCGGACAUACUGCACUGCAUUCCUAAUAGAAGCCACAGAAUCUCCCAUCAUUGCAAGCCCUGAUUUAACAAUGAGGUUUAGAAUGUGCGCAAGGCACCGAACAUGCAAGUACUUGCCUCCUAAAACAGGUUCCUUCUCCCACCCUAACAUCUUUUCUCUGAUAUAGUCAAUUGCUACCUUGUUUGCACUCGCAUUAUCCACUGAAAUGGUCAAGACUCUCUCCACUUCCCCCUCAAAUAAACAGUCCUCCAACAACUUCCCGAUGCUAGUGCCUUGAUGGUUAGGAAUCACCUUAAAACUCAGAAUUCUUUUUUGCAUUUUCCAACCCGAAUCUACAAAGUGAGAAGUCACAACCAUGUAGUUUAUAUUUUGCACUGAUGUCCAUGUAUCAGUGGUUAAACACAGGCAAUGACCCUUCAUCUCUUUCUUCAGCUUCGCUUUUUCUUCUUUAUACAUCGAAAGAAACAACUUCACAAUCACCCUCCUAGAAGGAACUUCCCAAUUAGGCACUGCAUAUCUACAAAAAUACUUAAAACCAUCCUUUUCGAUGUGACUGAAAGGAAGCUCAUCCAUAACUAUCAUCUUCACAGCUGCUUCCCUGCAACCUUGUUGAGUCCACUUCAUCACCACCGACUCUUUAGUACUCCCACUAGCCUGCUGCUCACCUUCUAUGUCUAUCCUCCCUGGAUAAUGUUUGUACACAGUUUCUAUGUGUCUCUUGAGAGUGCUAGUCCCAUUUGUACUGCUAUCACAAGCAAAAUCAGCGUCGUAGUGAUUACACAUAGCUCUUUCUAUUUCAUCAACCACAACCCUCUUACCAUCCUUCAUCCCGUAGAAUAUCUUCUUUAUCUUUUUAAAGUGCAUCCACACAUAUGAUCUUCCACCAAGCUUUUCAGAUAUUUCUAUUUCGACAUCAUCUUCAACACAUUCUCUCCUCACACGACGCUUCCUUUUUCGAGGAAUCUGAACCCCCGAGUUUGAAUUAGAGCCAGAACGGUGGGAGGACUGGGAGCCAGAACUCUCGGACGAACUGGAGCCUAGGCUAAGUGAAAUCUGAGGUGAAGCCAUGAAUCUCUAAAAAUAAAAAACAAACAAACAAGCCAUGUAUCUCUCAAACUCCCAUUUAUAGAAUCAUAUAUAAUAAUGUAGGCUAGUUGAUGCACAAGUAGACAGAGUUAGAACUUGUAAACAUAUAUAACUGAGCUGCCAUCCAAGCAAACAUACUAAAUUAUUUCAAUCAUCAAAUAAGUAUAUAUGCAUCAAAAUCAUUAGACAGUAUACUAACCAUACCAAGCACCAUCAUACACCUCAUUGAAAAAAUCAUACACAGUAAACUACAGAUUCGAUCUGCUCUCUUGUAUUUGAAGAUGGCAAUAAUGGGUUUGCUCUAGACUUUUGAUAAGGACACACAAAACGUAUAUAUUAACAAUGCUAAGUUAAUCAUGCCUUUCUAAACUAAAUGAACAAUGAACACUUCUGAAGUUCUAAUGAUAUGAACAAUUGAACAAUGAACACUGAUGAACAAUGAGCACUAAUCAGACUGCUUAAGCUUACAAAAAUAAUUUGAUUGCCAACAUAAACUACAAAUACUUUUAUACCUUUAUUCUUUUGAAUGCAUGAAGUUAAGAAAUCCAAAUUGUUCGUGAAAAUUAAAUGCCUGAUUCCAAUCAGCUUCCCUGAAACAACAAAUUGGCCAAUGGCCACCAAAAUCAAUCAAAUCCAUACUUAAACAACCUAUCUACCAAUUUUAACAACCCAACAGUAUCAAAAUAGUUCAGUAACCCAGAAUACAAAAUACAAAUGCCAGAAAACCCAGUUGGGAUUUGUACCUGAAAUGAGAAACCCAGAAAACCCAGUUGGGAUUUGUACCUGAAAUGAGAGAAAACUUAAACCCAGAAGCUGAAAAGCCAUCUGUCUCCACUCGAUGAGACUCGAAACAGCAAAAGAGGUAGAAGAGAGUUUGAGGCUUUGAGAGAAGAGGGGGGUGCUUGGCGGUUUAGGUCUUGGAGGCUUCAAGUCUGAGUUUGAGAGAUUUGAGCUGCGUUUUUUCAGUUUUAGUUUUUUUUUUUUAUUAUAUGGACCAAUAGAUAGCUGACACGUCGUAAAAAAAAGGUAUUUCGGGCCUGAACGGGCUUCCGGGCCGAGACCGAACUCGAACCUGAACCAGGACCGAUCAUUAAGCAUUCAGGCCCGUCUUUGGAGCGAGCCGUUAUCAUCACUUUCAGGACCGGCCCGAUCGGUCCUUGUCGGGCUUUCUAGUCGAUUUUUUCGGGCUUUCGGGCCCUAACGCCCAGCAUUAGCCGUGAGGGAUAAAUCGAGCUCUAAAACUCCGCCGGUUCGGAUUCGGUGUCAAUCGAAUUUCUCCUUCCUCAAGUCACCAUUUGGUGAGUUCUAUAUAUGGAUAAGUUGAGUUUGAUUAGUACUACAUUCCCCUAGAAUUUGGUAGCUCGAUUCGGUGUGUGUGAGGAGAAUCGAAGAUUUGAAGUUUUUAGGGUUUAAAAUUGGGGAUUUUUAUAUUUUGAUUCAAUUGACCUGUUUAGGCUUAGAAUUGGGCUUCGACUACUUCUAGAAAGUUGUUCGAAAUGUUGAGAGGAAGAUUCUGUCAAAUUUUGGUGGUGAUUGGAGGUGGCCAAAAGUUCUGCAGUUUUUUUUUCUAAAACCAGCAACUUUAGCCGACGAUAUUUAAAUACUAUAUUCGUCGGCUAUAGUAUUUUUAUAUUUUUUUAUAAGGUUUAGCCGACGAAAUAGACUAUAUUUCGUCGGCUAUAGUUAUUUUUAAAAUUUUUUUUCUAAGGUUUAGCCGACGAAUAUCUUAAUUGUUUCAUCGGCUAAAGUCUGGAAAAAAAACCGACGACAUGUUUUUCGUCGGCUAAACUGUGGGACUAUAGCCGACGACGUCUUCUUUUUUCGUCGGCUAAAGUCAUCGCCGACGACCUUCUCCCGACUAAAUCUUAGUCGACGAUCCAUCGUCGGCUAAGAUCUUAGCCAACGAAUUAAGCUAACAGGCCGAUAAAAUUUUUUCGUCGGCUAAAGUGCUUGUCGUGGUAGUGGUCGCUAUUAUAGCCUUAUUAGUGGUCCUCAUCAUAUAUGAGUAGAGCGCGUAGCGUGGGACGCUAUUAUAGCCUAAGAGGCAACCGAUCGGUAUUUAUAUUUAUUAGUUAGCUAGCCUUAUUAGCGGUCCUCAUCAUAUGUGAGUUGAGCGCUUAACGUGGGACGCUAUUAUAGUCUGGAAGGCAUCAACCCGAGCCUUGGAGGCUCCUUUUACAUGGUGAUAACUCUUCCCUUUAUUUUUAUUCCUCUCAGUUAUGUAUUUGAUUAACCAGCGGGGCUGGUUUAUCUCUUCUUACGAGAUUUUCUUUAUUUGAGUUAACCAGCGGGGCUGGUUUGUCCAUUCUUAUGGGUUUCUAGAUUUUAAGUUAUAUGAUUUAUCAAAAUUGCGUGUAGCUAAGCUUUUAAAGUUGAAAUGUGGGAAAGUAUUUAAAUUGCGUAUUUGUUAAGUUGUUUAAUUUAUUUUUGUCCACUCACUCUAACGUUUUUAAAUUAUUUUCCCCUGGGCCCUUUGGUUUUAAAUGCCCAGUGUACAUGCUAGGUUUAAAUGAGGUCAAGCGUACAUGGAGUCGAGACAUAGUCAGAGGUUGCUUCCGCUUAAUCUUUAUUCAUUGCUAUAUAUUCUUUCAUUAUUAGAUAUGCUCUAAUCACCAGUUAGUGAAUUAAUUUUGUUUAUUGUUAGUUGUGGGAUUAUUUUAGUCGAGUAAUUGAUAUAUUGGGAGGUGUGAUGAACUUGGGGAGCAGGAAGGCUCCAGGUGUUGAGGAUGGAUGUUUAGUUAUAGAAGUGUUAAGUUGGAUUUUUCAAGUAAGGGUUAUCCAUUUUCAAGGAAUUUUAUGCCGAAUUUUCGGUAAAUUUUCCUUGAAGGUAGACCCCGCAGGAUUUACCUCGUGUUUCAGAGUGAAAUUCGGGGUGGGUCCUGACAACAUGAAUCAUUAAGCAUAAAAGAUGAACUCGAACAUAUUAGAUUUGUUUACCGAAAGAGGCUUAACAACCUAACAUGCAAUCUAUGUUCUUAAUCGAAACCCAUAUCACAUGAAUCCCAAUUUUUACCACUUGUUAAUCUACACUUACCGGAAGAGGCUUAGCAUAAAUUAUGGCUUUGCUAACUUGGCCGAAUUAGCAUAUUG